AUACGGAGGGUGCAAGCGUUAUCCGGAUUUAUUGGGUUUAAAGGGUCCGUAGGCGGAUCUGUAAGUCAGUGGUGAAAUCUCAUAGCUUAACUAUGAAACUGCCAUUGAUACUGCAGGUCCUGAGUAAGGUAGAAGUAGCUGGAAUAAGUAGUGUAGCGGUGAAAUGCAUAGAUAUUACUUAGAACACCAAUUGCGAAGGCAGGUUACUAUGUCUUAACUGACGCUGAUGGACGAAAGCGUGGGGAGCGAACAGGAUUAGAAACCCUAGUAGUCC
rnacentral:rRNA from 1 species